GACGAACGCUGGCGGCGUGCCUAAUACAUGCAAGUAGAACGCACAGUUUAUACCGUAGCUUGCUACACCAUAGACUGUGAGUUGCGAACGGGUGAGUAACGCGUAGGUAACCUGCCUGGUAGCGGGGGAUAACUAUUGGAAACGAUAGCUAAUACCGCAUAAUAUUGAUUAUUGCAUGAUAAUUAAUUGAAAGGUGCAAUUGCACCACUACCAGAUGGACCUGCGUUGUAUUAGCUAGUAGGUGAGGUAACGGCUCACCUAGGCGACGAUACAUAGCCGACCUGGGAGGGUGAUCGGCCACACUGGGACUGAGACACGGCCCAGACUCCUACGGGAGGCAGCAGUAGGGAAUCUUCGGCAAUAGACGAAAGUCUGACCGAGCAACGCCGCGUGAGUGAAGAAGGUUUUCGGAUCGUAAAGCUCUGUUGUAAGAGAAGAACGGGUGUGAGAGUGGAAAGUUCACACUGUGACGGUAUCUUACCAGAAAGGGACGGCUAACUACGUG
rnacentral:rRNA from 1 species